GACGAACGCUGGCGGCGUGCUUAACACAUGCAAGUCGAACGAUGAAGCCUUUCGGGGUGGAUUAGUGGCGAACGGGUGAGUAACACGUGGGCAAUCUGCCCUGUACUUUGGGAUAAGCCUUGGAAACGGGGUCUAAUACCGGAUAUCACUUACCUCCGCAUGGGGUUUGGUUGAAAGUUCUGGCGGUACAGGAUGAGCCCGCCGGCCUAUCAGCUUGUUGGGUGGGGUAGUGCCUACCAAGGCGACGACGGGUAGCCGGCCUGAGAGGGUGACCGGCCACACUGGGAC
rnacentral:rRNA from 1 species